GUUUGCUUCGGCAGCACAUAUAUUAAAAUGGGAACAAUACAGAGAAGAUUAGCAGGGCCCCUGCACAAGGAUGACAUGCAAAUUCAUAAAGAGACUUUCCUGGAAUCU
ensembl:snRNA U6 U6 spliceosomal RNA